rnacentral:rRNA from 1 species
GACGAACGCUGGCGGCGUGCUUAACACAUGCAAGUCGAACGGAAAGGCCCUGCUUUUGUGGGGUGCUCGAGUGGCGAACGGGUGAGUAACACGUGAGUAACCUGCCCUUGACUUUGGGAUAACUUCAGGAAACUGGGGCUAAUACCGGAUAGGAGCUCCUGCUGCAUGGUGGGGGUUGGAAAGUUUCGGCGGUUGGGGAUGGACUCGCGGCUUAUCAGCUUGUUGGUGGGGUAGUGGCUUACCAAGGCUUUGACGGGUAGCCGGCCUGAGAGGGUGACCGGCCACAUUGGGCCUGAGAUACGGCCCAGACGCCUCCGGGAGGCAGCAGUGGGGAAUAUUGCACAAUGGGCGGAAGCCUGAUGCAGCAACGCCGCGUGCGGGAUGACGGCCUUCGGGUUGUAAACCGCUUUCGCCUGUGACGAAGCGUGAGUGACGGUAAUGGGUAAAGAAGCACCGGCUAACUACGU